GGUCGCCGGGCCGCGGCAGCACGGCUCAGGCAAACGUAAGCGGCUUGUCGCAGACACCGAGGGGUCCGAGAAACACGCUAGGCUAGAAGGCGGGAAGCGGAGAUUACUGACAGCCGUGCUAGCCAAUAAGAUGGGAAUGUAAGGAACGCUCUUCAGGCCCCUUCCCAAUCAGGACCCUCGGACUUAAUAUUUAAAUGCUACCCACCAUUCCAUGGGGCCUAGAAGCAGAAGGUAAAUACCAGGCAGUGGAAUUGGUGGAUCAUAUGAAAAAGACAAUGGAUGAAGCAAUAAGGAAGGUGUAAUGGGCUCUUGUCUCUGAGGAAAAUGAAAACAUACGGCUAACUGAAGAUAAUCAGGAUUAUUUUUGCACAUUUGGAAAGCAACUGAAAAAGGAAGCUUGGAAAAAAUCCUGCCUAACAAAGCAGCCAUACUCAAAUAGCUUGAACUAUAAGAAAGAACUGAUUUAAGAUACAAGAAUGGAUAAGAUAUGAGAUUUAAACAUGAUAAAAAGUGAUAUCUUCAUUUUUUCAAUGCUGUGUAUUCUUGUUGUGUAGUAAAAUGCUAAAAUAGUAAAGGAUUGAAUUGUUUUUCAUUAUUAAUACCCUGAAUUUUAAAUAGUCACUGAAAUAUUUUAUAUAAUAACAUCCAGAAGUAAUAACACAAAUAAGGAUAAAGUUAGUGAAUGGAAAAUGUAAUGUACAAAUUACCAAAAGGAAAUCAUACUAGUUUUAAGAAAUGUUUUAGCCACUGGUAUCAAUAAAUUGAUUCCCCACUACUUCUCAGAAAAAGUUGGCAUACAUUUUUCUCACUACUACACCCCUAAAAAGCUCAGUUUUAGAAUGAUGAAAUAUUUAAAUCUUUUGGAACUAUCUAGAUUUUAGAUAGUUCCUCAGAGAGUAUUGACUCUUGAUUUGACUGUGUUGCACAAAUCACCGAAAUUCAUGAAUUCUAAAUAUCAUUAUAGAUAUUGGUUUAAGAAAUGUUAAUGUUUCAAUUUAAAGAAAUGGUGAAAAGGUAGAUACUAGGAAAAAAAACAAAAAAAUGGACAUGUUUCAGAUGAUAAAAGAAUUGAAUAAUUAGGUGUGGUUA